rfam:Candidatus Aegiribacteria bacterium MLS_C scaffold_5, whole genome shotgun sequence.
ACUGCCGUGGAAUGAUUUGGGGUGUAUUGCAACCACGUAAAAAAAAGUGCUAAAAAGCCGAUA